rnacentral:rRNA from 1 species
CCUACGGGGGGCAGCAGUGGGGAAUAUUGGGCAAUGGGCGCAAGCCUGACCCAGCAACGCCGCGUGAAGGAAGAAGGCUUUCGGGUUGUAAACUUCUGUUCUCAGGGACGAAGCAAGUGACGGUACCUGAGGACUAAGCCACGGCUAACUACGUGCCAGCAGCCGCGGGAAUAAGUUGGUGGCAAGCGUUAUCCGGCUUUACUGGGUGUAAAGGGCGUGUAGGCGGGAAAGCAAGUCAGAUGUGAAAACCAUGGGCUCAACCUGUAGCCUGCAUUUGAAACUGUUUUUCUUGAGUACAGGAGGGGAAGACGGAAUUCCUAGUGUAGCGGUGAAAUGCGUAGAUAUUAGGAGGAACACCAGUGGCGAAGGCGGUCUGCUGGACAGCAACUGACGCUGAGGCGCGAAAGCGUGGGGAGCAAACAGGAUUAGAUACCCCGGUAGUC